UGCCCUCUCACCACACCCCAUCCCCUCUCCUCUCGUGUCCUCCCUGUUCGGUGAUGAAAGCGUAUUCUCACAUAAGUAGUUUUGUUUUUCCUCUUUACUAGCCAUUGGGGUUUGUCCUGUGUGCAGAAAGCCUUGGUACAUGUCUGAUGAGGUUUUGUUGUAAGAGUACUAUUUACAUCGGCAGCAAGUUAGUGUAUGUUGUUUUUUGUUUUUUGUUUUGGGGUUUCUUGUAGCGAUUUGCUAGCUUCCUCUGUUUUAUGCGUGUAGUUCAUAGCUGUUUAAUUUGUCAUGCGUUGUAGUGAUUACUGACGGGGACCCCAACAUCCACUCUUGAAGACCUACACUAUUUGGGA
rnacentral:lncRNA from 1 species